AUUAUACACAAUUUAUCUGCAAAUAACAGUAUUUCCAUUACUUCAAGUAAUGGAAAUACUGUUAUUUGCAGAUAAAUUGUGUAUAAU